rnacentral:rRNA from 1 species
ACACAUGCAGUCGAGCGGUAGCACGGAGAAACUUGUUUCUUGGGUGACGAGCGGCGGACGGGUGAGUAACGCGUAGGAAUCUACCUAGUAGAGGGGGACAACAUGUGGAAACGCAUGCUAAUACCGCAUACGCCCUAAGGGGGAAAGGAGGGGACUUUUCGGAGCCUUCCGCUAUUAGAUGAGCCUGCGUGAGAUUAGCUAGUUGGUAGGGUAAAGGCCUACCAAGGCGACGAUCUCUAACUGGUCUGAGAGGAUGACCAGUCACACUGGGACUGAGACACGGCCCAGACUCCUACGGGAGGCAGCAGUGGGGAAUAUUGGACAAUGGGCGCAAGCCUGAUCCAGCCAUGCCGCGUGUGUGAAGAAGGCCUUAGGGUAGUAAAGCACUUUCAGGGGUGAGGAAGGGUGAUUGGUUAAUACCCAAUUAUCUUGACGUUAGCCCCAGAAGAAGCACCGGCUAACUCUGUGCCAGCAGCCGCGGUAAUACAGAGGGUGCAAGCGUUAAUCGGAAUUACUGGGCGUAAAGCGCGCGUAGGUGGUUUGUUAAGUCGGAUGUGAAAUCCCAGGGCUCAACCUUGGAAUGGCACCCGAUACUGGCAGGCUAGAGUAUGGUAGAGGGGUGUGGAAUUUCCUGUGUAGCGGUGAAAUGCGUAGAUAUAGGAAGGAACAUCAGUGGC